CCUACGGGUGGCAGCAGUGAGGAAUAUUGGUCAAUGGACGAGAGUCUGAACCAGCCAAGUAGCGUGAAGGAUGACUGCCCUAUGGGUUGUAAACUUCUUUUAUAUGGGAAUAAAAUGUUCCACGUGUGGGCUUUUGUAUGUACCAUAUGAAUAAGGAUCGGCUAACUCCGUGCCAGCAGCCGCGGUAAUACGGAGGAUCCGAGCUUUAUCCGGAUUUAUUGGGUUUAAAGGGAGCGUAGAUGGGUUGUUAAGUCAGUUGUGAAAGUUUGCGGCUCAACCGUAAAAUUGCAAUUGAUACUGGCAGUCUUGAGUACAGUUGAGGUAGGCGGAAUUCGUGGUGUAGCGGUGAAAUGCUGAGAUAUCACGAAGAACCCCGAUUGCGAAGGCAGCUUACUAAACUGUGACUGACAUUGAUGCUCGAAAGUGUGGGUAUCAAACAGGAUUAGAUACCCUGGUAGUC
rnacentral:rRNA from 1 species